rnacentral:misc_RNA from 1 species
UGCGCGGUUUCAUAGUUUCAAGGUAAUGCAUUACACUAUAUAUUCAUGCAUUUUAUUCUCGUUUCAUUCCCAUUAUUGUCGAACAAACUAAAAUGCAAGUGCCAUUAGGCAGUGUUUAAUAAUUUAGGAAACCGAAGCAAUGACAGAAACCCAAUGGUGAUUCUUGCAGGAAAGGAAUGCGAUGAGAAUAAAGAAAGAAGAGAUCAAAUGUUGAUGCGGAGAAAAAGAAAGCGAGUUUCCGCGUUUGCUUUAGCAUAUGCUAUCUCCUUUUAGAAGAAAAAUUAAUAAAGGCGUGCAUGUUUGAAGGAUAAAAGUGUUCAUCAUUUCAUUUCAUGUACUGGAAAGUUGUAGCUUUUGAUCCUGUUGAAAACUAUAUAUAUAAAUUAUGUGCUUUUCAACCUUCUCUUAUUAAUGAAAGAUUUUUCAUAUUUAUCAGAAUAAAAA